rnacentral:rRNA from 1 species
GAUUGUUCACCCACCAAUAGGGAACGUGAGCUGGGUUUAGACCGGCGUGAGACAGGUUAGUUUUACCCUACUGAUAACAGUGUCGCAAUAGUAAUUCAACCUAGUACGAGAGGAAUCGUUGAUUUGCACAAGUGGUCAUCGCGCUUGGUUGAAAAGCCAGUGGCGCGAAGCUACCAUGCGCUGGAUUAUGGCUGAAUGCCUCUAGGUUAGAAUCCGGGCUAAAACUGACGCAUGCGCCCGCCACCCACUUGCCGACUCGCAGUAGGGGCUGUUCGUCCCCCAAAGGCACGUGUUGUUGGUGAAGCCAGCGCGGUGGAUGAGUUGUGCGGGUCGCCUUGAAGUACAAUUCCUAUCUUGAACGGCGGGUAGAAUCCUUUGCAGAUGACCUAAAUACGCGACGGGGUAUUGUAAGUGGCAGAGUGGCCUUGCUGCCACGAUCCACUGAGAUUCAGCCCUGCGUCGCUCCGAUUCGUCCCUCCC